CCUACGGGUGUCUGCAGGGGGGGAUAUUGCACAAUGGGGGGAACCCUGAUGCAGCGACGCCGCGUGGGUGAAGGAGCGUUUCGGCGCGUAAAGCCCUAUCGGCAGGGAAGAAGGAGGACGGUACCUGACUAAGAAGCCCAGGCUAACUACGUGCAAGCAGCGGCGGUAAUACGUAGGGGGCAGGCGUUAGCCGGAUUUACGGGGUGUAAAGGGGGCGCAGACGGGAGCGCAAGCUAGGGGUGAAAGCCAGGGGCCCAACCCCGGAACUGCGUUUGGAACUGCGCGGCUGGAGUGCAGGUGGGGCAGGCGGAAGUCCUGGUGUAGCGGUGAAAUGCGUAGAUAUCAGGAGGAACACCGAUGGCGAAGGCGGCCUACUGGACUGCGACUGACGUUGAGGCCCGAAAGCGUGGGGAGCAAAUGGGAUUAGAUACCCGGGUAGUC
rnacentral:rRNA from 1 species